rnacentral:rRNA from 1 species
AUACGUAGGUGGCGAGCGUUGUCCGGAAUUACUGGGUGUAAAGGGCGUGUAGGCGGGAAUGCAAGUCAGACGUGAAAUACCGUGGCUUAACCACGGAGCUGCAUCUGAAACUGUGUUUCUUGAGUGUCGGAGAGGAAAGUGGAAUUCCCAGUGUAGCGGUGAAAUGCGUAGAUAUUGGGAGGAACACCAGUGGCGAAGGCGACUUUCUGGACGAUAACUGACGCUGAGGCGCGAAAGCGUGGGGAGCAAACAGGAUUAGAUACCCUGGUAGUCCACGCCGUAAACGAUGGAUACUAGGUGUAGGAGGUAUCGACCCCUUCUGUGCCGCAGUUAACACAAUAAGUAUCCCACCUGGGGGGUACGGCCGCAAGGUUGAA